UUAUAAUAUUUACUCGGGGAGGUGAUUACAAUUUACUCAAAGUUUUCACAAAGCUUCGUCUUCUUCCCUCCCCUCAUAUCAGUCUCUGAUCUCUGAAACCUUAAUCAACAAGUUUUUGCAUUUAGCUGUUCAUCAUUUUCAUGGCAUCCACUAGCAAGGUUAGAUCUGAAGAAGACGAGUUUGAACGGUUUGAUGAUUUCACUCUCGCUUCUUCGUGGCAGUGUUUAAGGUUCAUUAUGAAAUAGAAGCAAUUUGUAGGCAGUGGUUGGCUGACGGACCAAAGAAUUUGCUGGUUGCUGCUGGCAAAUUCCUAGAUUAGGAUUGGAGUUUGCAUGAUUUGCAUUUGUGCUUUGGAGUAAAGGAAUUUUUGGUAUGCUUCUAUCUGCAUCUUAUACUCCACAUGGCAUUGAUACUUAGUUGCUUUACACUUAAUGUGUGUAAGGUUAUUACUCCUCAGUGCCAGUGGUUUGGUGCUUGAUGUACCAGAGGCUGGCAAGCUUUUAAGUGCAAUUGCAAUAGCCUUGUCAAAUACUUCCAGUGAUUGUGAGUCCAAUCACUGUGUUACAGGGUUUAUUAGUCUGGGGAAGUUGGGUAGGUUCCCUCGGCCAUUAAAAAAAAAAAGUAUGUUUUACAGUCUCGUGUACUUUUGAAUUCUUGUCCUCGCAAAAGCAUUACUUAAAUUUCAUCUAAUGUUGAAGGCCUACUCCACAUUGGACUUCUCGAUACAUCUUUUCAAAGUUCUGUUUACAAUGAAGCUAACUUACCAAACACUUCUCUAUAAUGAUAAUUAAUAAGAGAGAGUUGAAGCUGAAAACGCAGAAUCUGAUCAUUGUUCUGGUGAAAUCAGCAGCCAAAAGCAUUUGGAUGAUUGUCCUUGGAGUGAAUGGUAUUCUACAGAAGACCCAAUAAGAGGAUUUGAUUUGAUUGCCUUAUGAUAAGAGAAGAUGGUUGAAAGCUCAUUAGAAAUGGUUGAAUUGGAAAAUACUCCACCUCAUGAGGCUGAGAACUGGCUUUUAUUUUCAACUAUGUAAGAACUGUCUUUCACUAGAUGGUAUAUGGAGACGCUGACGAAGACAUUCUAAUGUUAUGACCAAAUUAAUGUUUGUGAAUAUACAUUCUUACAUAUUGUUGGACAACAUUGGUUUUCAUUGUUGAAAACUAAAAAGACUUGGUUAUACUUUGUAGGAUAUGAUGGCUUUGAAUUCUUUUGAUAAUCAUUUAUAGUCUAAUGGACCUCUUAUACGACAUUUAUAUCACAAGAAGCGUAGAGUUGAAGGCAACAGAUUGGUAGCUCCUCAUUAGCUAGGAAUUAGCAAAUCAUAGGGAAGCAUGUGGUUGUCCAAGAUUGGAAGAUUGGGAAAGUUGAUUAGAAGGUGCUUUGACUGUUGAAGAAAAGCUGGAGAAAAAAAGAAGAGACAAGGAGAAAAAAAAGUUAAAUGGAGGAUUGAAGGAAGAAGUCGACUCCCAAAUUGCCAAUACCCUUAUUUCUUGUAUAGACUAAUUAAGAGUUUACCCGUAUGCUUGUAAUAAACUGAGGAUGAGCAAUGAAUACAAUCUUGCGUUCAUUUUUUUGUGUA